GCCGGGCAUGGUGGUGUGUGCCUGUAGUUCCAGCUACUCGGGAGGCUGAGGUGGGAGGAUCGCUUGAGCCCAGGAGUUCUGGGCUGUAGUGCGCUAUGCUGAUUGGGUGUCUGCACUAAGUUCGGCAUCAACAUGGUGACCUCCCAGGAGCAGGGGACCACCAGGUUGCCUAAGGAGGGGUGAACCGGCCCAGGUUGGAAACAGAGCAGGUCAAAACUCCUGUGCUGAUCAGUAGUGGGAUCGCGCCUGUGAAUAACCACCGCAUUCCAGCCUGGGCAACAUAGUGAGACCCUCUCUCUA
rnacentral:SRP_RNA from 13 species